UACAGAGGUCCCAAGCGUUGUUCGGAUUCACUGGGCGUAAAGGGUGCGUAGGUGGCCAGGUAAGUUUGGUGUGAAAGCUCGGAGCUUAACUCCGAAAAGUCAUUGAAUACUAUCUGGCUGGAGGGCCGGAGGGGAGACUGGAAUUCUCGGUGUAGCAGUGAAAUGCGUAGAUAUCGAGAGGAACACCAGUGGCGAAGGCGAGUCUCUGGACGACUCCUGACACUGAGGCACGAAAGCUAGGGGAGCAAACAGG
rnacentral:rRNA from 1 species